AGGAUUAUAGUUAACCAUAACAUUUAAUUUGCAUUUAAAAAGUAUUGACUAUCAAUUAAUCUUA
rnacentral:tRNA from 1 species